CAAAGGUCUCGUUGCCAAGGUUCCCGUGGGUUCGUGCCUGCGGGAUAAGAGGGAAUUCGGUGGGCUCUCAAGGAGCGAAGCCGAAGCUGCCCCCGCAACUGUAAGCGGCGAGCUCUGCCGAACACGGUCACUGGUGCGUAGCACUGGGAAGGCCAGGCAGAAGCGGCGACCCGCGAGCCAGGAGACCUGCCUUGGCAUGGUCACGACU
rnacentral:ncRNA from 2 species